rnacentral:misc_RNA from 1 species
AUUUUUCCCUCAAAAAAUGGCUGCGCCCAUUCGAAACAAUUAUCGCCCUCAAAGUUUUGACCAAAAUGUAAACUUUCGUCCAAGAUAUGAUGCCUCAGUUGGGAGAAAUCCUCGACCAGAUUUUCAAAACUUUAGGCCAAGAUAUCAGGAAAGGUUUGGAGACCCCAGACACAGUUUUGAAACUCCGAGAUGGCAAGGAAACGUGUUGCAGAACCAGCAAAAUAAUUUCCAGCAACAUCCUCCAUUUAGACCAUUUGGACAAGGAUUAUUUAGUCCAUCGAUGCAAAAUAAUAAUAAUGUGUACGAACAGGGUCAGUCGUCUUAUUCACAAAACACCGGACAACAGGAAAAUACGUCCUUACCUAUGUUCUUGGGAAAUACAGACCAGUAUCAAAAUGUAAAUCAGAAUAUUCAGAUGAAUAGUAACAUCAACUUCCAACAGACAAUGCCACAAAAUAACAGUGUUCAAAACUUUCAGAAUACAGGUAUGCAAGUACCUCCACCGUUCUUGGUUUCACAUCAGAAUGCCCCACCCCCUGUUCCAAAUCCUAUGCAGUUUUCAGUACCCCCUCCCCUUCACCCAGGUCAGCCUUUGCUACCACCUAAUUUUGGGUCAAGCAGUGCCCCAUUUCAUGAACAAAAGACAGAUGUAGAUGAUGCUAGUGUGGGAAAACAAUACCUUGAUGCUUGGCUGAGAAAAAGACAAAGGAGAAAUGAGGAUAUAGAAGACACCUACACUCAUCCUGCUCAAGUAUCUUCUUCUAUUCACUCAUUACAAUCCAAGAUGAGGCGAAUGAUGUUACUGAUGGCACAGCUACAACAGGAAACCAGUGUCUUGUCCGACUUGGGAACUCAAGCUUCAGAUGAAGUCUGGGAUGAACAGAAACAAAAGACAGAGGCCUUAAAGAAGGAGCUUGAAAAUAUACAUAAAGAAUUAAGUGAGGAGAGUACAGUUGACACAGUGAAACAAAAAGUAUUAAAGCAGAGGAAAAAAAGGGUAAGAGUUUUACACUGAAUAUACUCAUGCAAACUUAAAUAUUUUAAGGAGAAUGAAAACUUAAAAAAAAAAGUCUUAUGUUACAAGUCUGAUGCUCUUAAAUUAAUGUAUUUUGACAUCAUGUAAUGACAUGUAUAUGUAAAUUCAGUAGAACAGAAAGUAUUGAAGAUCUUCUAUUUAUGUUUCACUUUCAAAUUAAAUGAAACUUCUUUUUCAGUAUGGUCAAAUGAAGACUUGUUUUGAAAUAAUUGUGCUUUUGAUUCCUUCAUAUCCUUUAUAUCAAGGCAAAAAUUUUGUGUAUCCUUUCUUAUGAACUUAUUAUUGAAAGUUUCUCUCUGUCACCAAAUAACUUAGAAAGUUUUUUGUCAUAAGGGAGCAGAGCUGAUUGAAUUUAUGUAAUAUGGUUUAUAACAGAAAUUUUCAUGCACCUGAAUUACUUCAUAUUCAGAUCUGUAUGAACGGAAUAAAACACUUUAGACAAAAUAGACAUUCAUCAUAGGUGUCUUACUGUCUAGCAUUCACCUGGCUCGACUUCAGUCUUUCAUUACUAAUGCACAAUAAAUGACAUAAAAUAUUGUGCUAGAGUUCAAAUUGCUUGAGUGAAAAUAGUGAUAAAAAUUUUGAAACUUAUUAAUAUGUUACUUCAGGAGAGGCUGAAAAGAAGGAGACAAGAAAUAUAUGAAGAAAAGCAGAGAGCUGAGGAACAGAGGAAUAAACUACAUGCAGAGAUUGAUGCAUGGCAAGGGGAAAUAAGGAAGAAAGAAAAUGAGAAAAGAGAGGCCAGGGAAUUGAAGAAAUCAGCAGAUGCCAUACUGAACGAAGUCCGAAAGAAGAUAAAUGAUGUAACAAAAACCAUGGACUUAUUAAAAGGAAUCCAGAAGCUUCGCAAAUUACGAAGCGACAGACUCAAACAACAGGGUGUCCACACAAACCCUGCUAGUGAUGAGAAGUUUAAAGAAGUUAUGGAUGAACAGUUUGAAACAGUGAAGAAACAAAAGGACAUUUAUUUAGCUGAAGAGAGGGCCUUACGGGUAAUGCUAGAAACUGAACAUGAAGAAAGUAAGGAGAAAGAGAGAGAGCAACAGGAGAAAUUGAACAAAUUGAAAAAGGAACGGGAAAACAAGAGAACAGAGGAAAUUCUGUUUGGGAAGUCUGAGAGCUUUUCUGGAGAGGACCCGAUGCUGCCGUUUCACCAGUAUUACGAUCAAGCUAACUACAAUUACGACUCAUUCAUUCAAAUCCGAUGUGACUGGGACAGAUUUGUCGUACCUGACAGUGCCCCAGGAGGCACUCGGAUACCCACCCACUUUGUGACCCCGGCGGAACCGUCAUCAGACCAGUGGGCCAGUGCUUUGAAGGACAGUUGACUCUCAUUCUCGUGCUACUCACUGAGAGACAGAUACAUUUAAAAUGUCACAAUCUAUUGAAAAGAUUUACAAGAAUGGACAUUAUUAAAACAAAGGGACAGAACUCUGUCGUGAAUGAAAUCAGUCGGGCUGUGGAUGAGGAUGUUGAUUGAGAUGGCAAAAAAAAAUUAAAUUCAACAUCCCUACUGAAAUUGUAUUUCUCCAUCAUGCCUUGAAAUGUGAUUUCCAAGUUGUUAUAUUGUCCUGAGUAAAAUUGAUUAAAAACAACUUUAAUGUC